CCCUUAGAUGUUCUGGGCCGCACACGCGCUACACUGAAGGAGGCAGUAUGUACUCCUGGAUCGAAAGAUUUGGGUAACCCGCGAAUCUCCUUCGUGCUAGGGAUUGAGGUUUGCAAUUAUCCUUCAUGAACGAGGAAUUCCCAGUAAGUGCAAGUCAUAAGCUUGCGCUGACUACGUCCCUGCCCUUUGUACACACCGCCCGUCGCUACUACCGAUUGAAUGAUUUAGUGAGGACUUCGGACUGGGACCGAUGCGGCUUUCGGGCUGCGUCGGUAUUCUGGAAAGAUGUCCAAACUGUAUCAUUUAGAGGAAGUAAAAGUCGUAACA
rnacentral:rRNA from 1 species